CCAAAAUAUCCGAUAUCCCAUACCCGACCCGGACCCUAUCCGGACCCGAACCGGAUCCGAACCGGACCCGAUAAAAAAUGAAUAGUAUACGGAUAAAAAAAAUUACCCAUUAAAGUUUCGGGUAUGGGUCCGAAUAUUUUAUACCCAUACCCGAUUUAGACCCGACCCGAACCUAACUUUUAAAUGGAUAGGGUCCGGAAUAGUUUUCAAAUCCGGAUCCGGACCCGGACCCGAUGAAAUAUCCGAUAGUAAAUAAAAAAAAAUAAACUUUUGAAGUUGAAGGAUCAAUUUUAAUAUGACUUAUAGAUGAUGAGUCACUACGUAUUUUCAUCUUAAUGAAACCCUAGCCGUCUCUUUUACUCAUUACUUUUUUCUAAUUUUUUUACUCUUUGUUUUCUACUUCUUCUUUUUCAUUUCAUUUCCGCCAAUAAUAUUUGAUUGUCAUCAUCAUCAUCAGUGUCAUCAUCAUCAUCAGCGAUAAUAUUUCUUUUGAAUGAAUUUUAUUGGACGGUACAAUUUAUUAGAAUGCGAGUUUUUUUUAUCGUGGGCUUUAUAGUUUGUCUAUUGACUAUUUAAUAAAGUUUAUAAAAAAAAUAUAUUUAUACGGAUAUCCGUACCCGAUCUAAACCCGAUCCAUAUCCGGUCUUGAACGGAUAAUAUACGGGUAGUUACUACCCAGACCCGCUCAAAUAGACCCGAUGGGUAUAUUAGUAACUUUAGUACCCAGAUCCGGACCCGACCCGAAGUUAAAUGGGUAGGGUAUAUAUAUUUUUUUAUAACCAUUUCUUUUUAGGGUAUGGGUACAGUAUAUUAAUUACCCAGAUCCGACCCGGUCCACGGACAUCUUUAAGUACUGGGUCAAAUAUCAGCGUAAUAUCAUAAAUAUUUAAUUACUUUUUUAAAGGAAAACUUUAAAUGCUAUCCCUGUGCUUUCACACUUUCUCACUUUAGUGCCUUGUAGUUUAAAGUAUAUUAAUUUAGUGUUAUGUGAUUUUACUUUUAUUUUUUUAUUAUUGAUUUCACUAAUUUUUUUUGUUAAAUUAGUGACAAAGUUAAAACUAAAAGGUAUUAAAGUGAAUAUUCGAUAAACCUAGAUGGAGUAUCUGAAGUUUUUUGUAUAUAAUUUAACGAAAUAUUAACGAAAAAGUUGACGAAAAGAUAAAAAUGAAACCACGGGACACUAACUUGAUACACUUUAAACCACAGGGUAUUAAAGUGAGAAUGUGCGAAACCACGGGGGUGGUAUUUGAAGUUUACCAGUUUUUUAAUUUUAGUAUAUUAAAAAAUACAUAUAUAAUUAUUCUAGUAUCAUACUUAAUUAAUAAUUAUAACACGUUAAUUUCUAUACUAAAUUAAGUAUAUAUACGGUUUUAACUUUUACAUUUUAUAAGGACAUGUUCACCGUGUUUUCUUGGUUUAUCCGAUUCAAAUGGUUAAACCGAAUUGUUUUAUUGAUUAGGUCACGGUUGGACCAGUACCACCAACUGAUACGAUCCGAAUUUUAAAUUAUUGGAAAAUUGGAGGCUGAUUCGAUCCGAAUUUUAUUGAAAAAUACAAAGGAAUUAAAA
rnacentral:lncRNA from 1 species